AACUUUCAACAACGGAUCUCUUGGUUCUGGCAUCGAUGAAGAACGCAGCGAAAUGCGAUAAGUAAUGUGAAUUGCAGAAUUCAGUGAAUCAUCGAAUCUUUGAACGCACAUUGCGCCCGCCAGUAUUCUGGCGGGCAUGCCUGUUCGAGCGUCAUUUCGACCAUCAAGCCCCUGG
rnacentral:rRNA from 1 species